UACGGGGGGGGCAAGCGUUGUUCGGAAUUACUGGGCGUAAAGGGCGCGUAGGCGGCCUGCUAAGUCGGACGUGAAAUCUCUCGGCUCAACCGGGGAACUGCGUCCGAUACUGGUGGGCUCGAAUCCGGGAGAGGGAUGUGGAAUUCCAGGUGUAGCGGUGAAAUGCGUAGAUAUCUGGAGGAACACCGGUGGCGAAGGCGGCGUUCUGGACUGCAACUGACACUGAGAAACGAAAGCCAGGGGAGCAAACGGG
rnacentral:rRNA from 1 species